UUCAAUCUGGACAGAGUACUGCAGGUUCAGAUAACUCUGGAUCCGACUCUAGUGAAGUUGCAGAUAAUCUAGCCUUGGUUCAGUUUGAACAUCCUGAAAGGAGCGACGAGAGCUCAGCAAGAAGUCCGGUGCCUGCUGUUCAUCAACCUCCAUCUAGUGUAGCAGUAAGGAAAAGAACCUCUCCACUCUUUUAUUUGGCUAUUCUUUUAUACAAGUUAAUUAUCUGGUUUCAUAGAUAGCAUAACCCAAAUAUAUUUAUAUCCCAACAGGAAGGAAUUAACAGUGAGGAACUCUGUGAACAACUUGACAGAGCAAUGUCAGAGGUUACAAAGGCAAAAAGGGAGGCACUCGAAGAGUUGAUUCGCCGUCAGAAAGCUGAAAAGGCUGCAAUUGAGGCUAAGCGCAAAGUAAAUUUCUUGAUAUGAAAUCUUAGGAUGAUUUCUAUGUUUAAACAUGUUAACACAACUAGGCACCAUGCGUUAUUUUUUUUUUCAAUUUCUAAUCUGGUGGUUGGCAUGACUAGGUUUUAAAUACAGAGCAGUAUAUAUGCGUGAAAAUCUGGGAGUUUUGCCUAGUGCAGUGGAUGUUGAAGAUACUGCAUAAUCAUUUUAGUUUCUAAAUUGUUACCGUCAGUCCAAAUGUGGAUUGGGAAACCUAGAAUAUAGAUAACAGAGUCCGGAAUGUACGGACAAUAAAUUAAACUUAUUUGGAAGAAUAAUUAACCUUUUGAUUCCUUCUCAGUUGGAACUUAAAAAGCAGCAUUGACAUUAAUUUUACCAUUUGAGCAGAGUUUGUCCUUUAUGUUGUAUGUAAUCCUUUUUUUGUCAAGGAUUAAUUUAGAUGAUUUAGAGCUAUUAAAGCAUCCUUCACUGUCAACAAUCUUAUGACUUGCACAAAAUUUUUGGAUACAGUAUGGGAAGUGUUACUUAUUUUCUUGGAUUUUUCCAAUGUCACUGCCUAUUUACAGUUUUGUGCACUUGAGAACUCACGUGCUGAGGAAUCAAGUCAGAGGAUUAAUAAUCUCAAGGAGAUGCUAGAGAAAGAAAGGGAGAGAUGCAAAAUGAUCGAGAAUGAGAGAGAUGACUUGCAAAUGCUGUUCGAAAAUGCACUUAAAGCUAAUGAGGAGCUCUCAGCACACCAAGCUGGUGAACCUUCAAGUUUGAACUCGCAGGAUCAGGAAGUCAUUACCAAGUUUUCUUUCUCAGAAAUUCUGGAAGCUACAGAAAAUUUCAAUCCUUCCUCAAAAAUAGAGGAAGGGGAUUAUGGAAGCACUUACAAAGGUUUUCUUCGUCAUACCCAAGUGAUUAUGAAGAUGAUGUGUUCUGAUAGCUCACAGGGCCCAUCACAGUACCAUCAGGAGGUGAGGUACUCUUAGUUUGAUUGUAUUUCCUCAAAAAUUGCAUACAUGCCAAUUUGAAUGAGAUUAUCUCUGGAUGAUGGUGCUGAAAAAAUUGCGUAAGAAAUCGUUGAUGGCCACCUCAUAGUAAGGACUUUGCGCAUAUCCAUGCCUAUGUGAUUGCUUGAAACUUUUAAAAUUGUAAAUUUGCCUGGACAUUUGUCUUUUGUUGUUUUAUUCGUGCAGAAGUCAAAGAGAUUCAAGAUCAGAUGAAUAUGAAUAUAUUUAUUAGAGAAAUAUAAUUACACAGGCUUUACUCAAUUUUCCAUUUUAUUUACUGAGAUAUUGAAGUAGGCACUCAUGUCAUUCUGGGCUGCUAUUUCAGCUUCACAUUGCAAGCAUGUUGAGGCAUCCAAAUUUGGUCACCCUUAUUGGGGUUUGCCCAGAAGCCUGGGCUCUCAUCUACGAGUAUCUCCCAAAUGGUAACCUUGAAGACCGGCUAAACUGUAAAGAUAACGCUGCCCCACUAUCAUGGCAAACGAGGAUACAGAUAUGUAGAGAUACAUGUGCUGCACUUAUUUUUUUGCACUCCUUCAAACCUCAUGGGAUAGCUCAUGGUGAUCUGAACCCCCAGAAUAUUCUUCUUGAUGCCAACUUCGUGGCUAAACUGAGCAACUUCGGAUUGCGUGACGCAUCUUUCAGUUCCCAUACAACAGGAGACUUUUCUGCUGAGUCAGAUGUUUAUUCAUUUGGGGUCGUACUAUUGCGGUUGCUUGUUGGUCAAGCAGCAUUUAAUUUAGACGAGAUUGUGCAAACUGCGUUGGAUGCUGAAGAGUUAGAUACUGUGUUGGAUCAAAUGGCAGGGCCAUGGCCACUUGAGCAGGUCACAGAGCUGGCACGCCUAGCUUUGGGUUGCUGUGGGAUGGAUAUUAGCAACCAACCAGAUCUUCAGUCAGAGGUGUGGCCGCUGCUUGAACAAAUCCAAACACUAUGUGAGCAAGCGCCAUCAUCUGAUCGUUCUUCAGGAGUUACUCGGCAAUCCUGGUCAUCUGAUCGUUCUCCUGGUGAAGAGCAUACCCAGCCUCCUUCGUAUUUCCUCUGUCCAAUAAAACACGUAAGUUGCUACUUCUGUCGUUCUGUGGUAGUCAUUGACUAUGCUCGUUUUCACAAGCCGAACAGAGCUGGAAAGCACGUGCUCCCCUUAAUUAUCGUACAGGAGAAAAGGCAACGGAACUUGUCACACCGGUUUAGCUUGAUACAUCAGUAACAGAACUUGUCCUGGCACCUUGUGAUCCAAUUCAUGUAUAGCAGCACAGGUUCAACGUAACCUAGCUGUUUUGAAUUCUUGAAAAGAGUAUUAAGUCGACAAUGCUUUUUGGCAGGAGAUUAUGGAAGACCCUCUUGUGGCAGUGGAUGGCUAUACAUAUGAGGCGGAGGCGAUAAGGGAGUGGCUGGACGGCCACAACACCUCGCCCAUGACGAAUCUUCCACUCGAUAACCUACAUCUCGUGCCGAAUAGGAUUGUUCGGUCGGCAAUUCAAGAAUGGCUUCAGAUCAAUGAAAGCUAGUGUGGCUGUCAAACAGCAAAAUCUAUGUACAGUUAGUGCUGCUCCGGUGGGUUUUCUUGUACAUAUACACAGCAGCAGGAGUGAUAUACGUAAGAGCAUACGCCCGUGAGUAAUGCACGAGGUUAUGAUAGUAAUUUCGUGUGAGCAGGCCUGUUUUUGUUUAUGCUUAGUCAAAAGCAAAAAGUAAUUUUUCACUUCGCGGUCGAAAUUUAAAAUGUCAUCUAAAUUUCAGAAAACCAUGAGAUAAAUUAUGUGCUGCUUGACAUGUCGAUAUUUGCAUUAGGAAAGUGCAACCAAACCGGUUUUACCUAGGAAUUGAACCGGAGUGCCCAAAAAAUAGGCCUGGGAAUCGGUUUUUAUUGGAAGCAAGUUUCAAGUGAAUACCCAUCCAAGAUUCAGAUUGGACCACCUUAUUUUGGAACUGGUUUCAGAAUUAGUUUUAUAAGCUAAAAGGGCAAAAUCCUAAUUUCUUUUUCCCUUAAAUUCUAAUCUAAGCACUCGUUCGUCUUUUAUCCUUCGUCGGAACUCUUUGCCAGUUUUUCUUCUUCUCCUAAAUUUUUAUAAAUUAAUGGGGAAUAAAAUUUUAUAAUUUAUGUUUUAUGCUAGGUGUUUGAACAUUUUAUCAUUCGUAAUUGUACGAAACUGCAUAUUCUUCUUAUGAAUUGUUUUUUUUAAUGAAUUUUGUUGUUCAUCUUUUAUUUUGAAUUAUUUCAUUACUCAUAGCCUCAUAUAAUUUGUUGUAAAAGAUGGACCAAGAAAAGGAACAAAAAAAAUAAAAAUAAAUUCUCAAGUAGACCCGAACCAGAAAAACAUGAUAGGUUCCAAAAUUAAUUAUAGGUACAAGGAGUAGGUUUCAGGGUUCAAAAAUUGGGAACUGGUUAUAAUCUUGAAUCCACUCAUUUUGAAACUCAUCACCCUUAAUUUACAUACUAUCGAUUCAAGAGUUUCGAAUUUUGACAAAUCAAAUAUGUGUAAUGUAACCGCCCAAGGCCUGACAAAUCAACUUGUUGACUAGGUAGCAUUAAUAUUGAUAAGUGACACGCAACACAAUACGACACAACACGACACGCUAACACGUUGUUUCUCAAAAAGUAAAUAAUUCCGAUACGUUAUGACACACCGUGUGUGUUAUAUGUUUUUAUGAUUAUUUUAAUCAAAUUAAUUUGAUUCAAAUUCAUAAAUAAAUAAAUAAUUAUAAAAGCCUAGAAUGAAUUUACACUAAAAACAUUAAUCCACAAUUUAUUAAUAUUAUUCAUUAUUUCAAGAGUUAAUACUCUAAAAAACACCAAAUUUGUACACAUAUAACAAAUUUACCAAAAAUUAAUUAUUUUACCAUGAAAAAUCCUAAACUGGUAUAUCCAUGACAAAUUCAUCUAGACUAAUCAUAAAAAAUAUUAAACUAGUACAUUUGUGACAUAUUUAUCCAAAACUAAUUUAUUCGACAGCCAAAAAUCAUAAACUGAUACAUUUGUAAUAAAUACACCGUCCAUUAAAUUAUAUUAAUACCAUAAAAAAUCACAAAUUGCAUAACUUUAGCAAACGGAUAAUAAAAUCUUAAAUUUGUAUAUCAGUCAACUGUCAAAUGUCAUUCAACUUAGUAAUUUGAUAGUAAAAUUUAACGGAAACUAAUAAAGAGUAAAUUUGUCACAAAUAUACUAGUUUAAGGUAAAUUUGUCAAAUGUGUACUGGUUUGGGUUUUUAAUGCUCAAAAAAUUAAUUUAUGGUAAAUUUGUCACAAGUGUACCAAUUUAAGAUUUUUCAAGGUAUUAACCCUUAUUUCAAUUUGACAAAUUCAAUUUCAUUUCAAUAAUACAUAAAACUUAGAAGUUAAAAACAAGCAAUUCACAUUCUCGAUUUGCAUGGAAGAGAAAAAAAAAACUUCGGGAGUGAAUUGUGUAUCACAGAAAAUGAGAAUCAUAAGAGAAGGGAAAAUUAUGUUUUUAUUCUUUUCUCAUUUAUUAUUAUUAUAUUUUUGGUAAAGGUAUAUAUAUAUAUAUAUUGUGAUCCCCUAUUUAUUGAAAAAAUUUAAAAUUAACUUUGCGUGUCAGAAUCACAUAUCAAAAACUUAUAUGUUGGAAUUAAAAGUGUUGAGAAAGUUAAUCAAAUAUCGAAUUUUUUAACAUAUGUUAACCAAGUGUCGAAAAGUGUUUUCAACACAACACAAAGGCUUCUACAAAGUCUUGGUGCUUCAUAGCUUAUUGAUGACUUGAUGCGACAUGAGGCCUGACAAUUUGACUCGUUGAUGGCUUUUGAGCUUCUCUCAACGACAUUAUUAUAUUUUUCCCUCUUUCAUUAACCUUUUGUGAGUAAAUAAUUCUAACCUAUUAAAACGAAUACAUUGGUUGCUUUGGACACACUUGAGCCCAAAUUGGAUAACACCGUGUACUUAAAAAGAAAAGAACUAAAGGAUACUAAAAGUAUCAUAAAUUGUAUACAACAUUUAUCUUAGUAUCAAAAGUUUUUGACGAAUUACUUAAAUGCAACUUUCUAAAAAGAACAAUCUUUUAAGCGCCGACUUUGAUGUAGGUUUCAAAAAAUCCGACAUUGCCAUAUAUUAUGAAUUUCUUAAAUUGACAUGGCUUGCUGGUGUGCCUGGUAAAUAUUUAAUCUUUAAACAAUGUCAUAUACUAGACUUUCCCUAAAUUAAAGCAUUAAAUCGCCAAAUUGAACCAAAUUUCUAGAUUUGAAACCAUAUAUGCCAAUGAAUUGAAAAUCAACACCCCAAUUUGGUUUGCCCUUAAAAUUAAUCGCUCAAUUAUGCUAACGGAGAGCAAGAGCUUCAUGAGUAGCUCAAAUUUGUUUCAACAAAGCGAAGAAGAAGGUGAGUUUAUAUUAUUGUGGGCUACCGAGUCCAAAAAGAAACCUCGUAAGCCGACAGCCAGUGAGCAAACUCUGGAGGAGCGACUGCAGGACCCACCACCACAGUACUCCAGGUAAUAAUCCCUAACAACGCCUCUGGAAUUCGAACUCUUCCCCUUUGUGAGGGGGAGAGAGCCCUAAGCCAACUGCGCCGCUGCGGGCGAUGGUUAAGUUUUAUAUUAUUGUGGGCUACCAAAUCCAAAAAUAAUAUCUUACACUCAGACUAAUCUCAGGAGAAGAGAUGUGCUAUGUAUAGAGAAUGCUUGAAGUGCAAAUAUAUCAUAUGAGUAGAUGCAAAAUUCUUAGGUUGAGAACACAAGUGAUGUUAGAGUUACUUGAAGGAUGACAUCAACUUCCACUAACAUAAACGGAUGAGUUAGAGGAUGCCAAUUCAAUACAAGCAGAAAAUGAAGGCUUGAGCAGCUCUCACCAACCAUUUGAAAUCAGAAGUUUUAAGAAUAAAAAGUGAAAAAAAGUGUUAUCGAGCGUUGAUUUAUGCUUAAAUGUAAAGUAGGUAAUGAGAAAGAUCAAUGGAAUAUGUAAUUGCAUUAGGGUAAUUUGUAAAUUUAAUUGUGUUGUUGGUUUGCUAAUGUUGGUUUGUUGCACUUUUGGUGGAAAUGUGACUGGAAUUUAGUUAAGCAAGGGUUGUUUGCCGUGUGUAAUUUGUAAAUUUAACACGAGCUUAUGGUAGUAAUUUUGUUUGAGCAAGAAUGCUUGUUUACGGUUAAGACAAUAUAACAAAAGGUAAUAUUUCAUUUUUCUAUCAAAAUUUAAAAUAAGGUUAAUAUUACAAAAACUUCAAAUUAUACUCACCGUGAUAUAAAUAUCUUGGACUUUUUAAACUUUUCCACCGUGAUGCAAAUAUUCUUAAAUUUUUUUUUGUAUCACGAAAAAACCCAAGGUUUUUGGUAUAAAAAAAAUUGAGUAUUUGAGUUACAAUGGACAUUGUUUGAGAUUUUUUUUUUGUUUGUGAUAUCUACCCUUUAAAAAUACUAUCUAGAUUUCAGAAAAAAAAAAUAAGACAUAAAUUAUGUGCUGCUCUACGUGGGAGUUUGAAUCUUGACAAAUAACAUCCGCGCAACGCAACCACACAGGGACCAAAAAAUGGACUUGUCGAUGACUUGCCACGUGGCAGCACAGUACGAGGUCUAACGAUCUGGCUAGCCGAUAGCUCGCCGCAUGGCAUUCGAGCUAUUCCUUUUUUAUUUCCUUUUCCCCCUUUUCAUUAACCUUUUGUGAUUAAAUAAUUCAGGCCUAUUAAAAAAAUACGCCAUCUCCUUUGGACGCACUUGAGCCCAAACUGGAUGAGAGCCCAACGUACUUACAAAAUAAAAAGGGGGAGGGAGGCAAAGAACCAUCUCAUCAACGAAGUAGGCCCACGCGUACAAGCCCCCUAUUUUAGCUUUUUGUAGUUUAUUAUUUUAAUGAGAUUUAAAGGAAAAUUAAUUUUAAAAUGUCACGUCAGCAUUUUCCGUUAGACAAAUUGAUAGUAUGAACCGAUGACUCAAUUGUACCAAUUUUACAAGUUUUAAGACUUGAUUAUAUUUUUUGAAAGUUUUAUGACUUGAUUGCAUUUUUUACAAUAAGUUUUAAAAUUUAUAGUGUACAUAUCCCUAAAAAAUAUGUAAAGUUGUUUGUAUGAAAAGCAAGUGAAACUAAUAAAAAUAGCAAUGACUUUGCAAGAAAAGCAUGAACGAUACCUAUUUUGCAAGAGCAAUUUUUAUCUCAUUUAAUGAUGCAUGGUUGACUUUGAUGAUGUAAAUGAUAGAUGAUGCUUUAAAUGAUCAUGCAUUUUUUGACAUGGCGCUUUAUGUGAUUAAAUAGCCGUAAGUUUAGGAAAUAUUUAAGAAUGCUACUAAUUUUUGAGGAAAAUGUAUUUGUUUCCUUUAGAUUUUUUUUUUUUCAGUUAUUCUUAAACUUUCAACUCAUUCUCAAACUUUUAUCCUGACUUUUUGCAGGACAUAAAAAUGGAAACUCAUAUCUAAAGCUAAUUGUUCUUACUCCAACUCUCUUAGAGAAAGUAGCAAUUCGAAUACCCUAGCUACCCCUUUUGAUAUGAGAAAGGAUAUGCGACCUUGUUUAUUAAGAUAGAAUUACUUUCUUUUUAAUUGAGGAAAUAGUCCACUUUAAUGUGGUUUUUUUUUCUAUAUUUGAUUAUUGUAGUGAAAAAAGAAAUGUGAAUCUUUUAUUUUAAAUUUGUUACUAUGUUCACGUUACAUUAUUCUCAACAUUCAAAUGGUAAAAGUUGUUGAUCAUUGUUUUUUCCAAUUCUAAACAAAUUAAAAGUUAAAAAGCUUCAAGACUUUUCGAAACGUGUUUUCACUACAUGGUCUCUCACUUUCUCUCAAACUUAUUUCCAAAAUAUACUUUUCAAUCACGAUCUAUCCAAAAACUUUUACAUUUCAGGAAGACCUUUAGGUAAAAAUCCGUUGUGUUUUAUGCAAAGUUCUUUUUCUCAUAGACUUUUUCAGAUGCUGCCAAAUACCCCAAAAAAAAAAGUGAUCAUGCAAAUUGUGAAAGGGAAUAAAUCAAGACUCAUUUUCCAACUUUUUGUGAUCCACUAAAAGGAAAAAGACCACGUUAGAUUUUAUACAUCCCCAUUGAUCAAAUCGAGCUAUCUUUACGCUUGUAGUUGUCCCGAUAUCCUUGUCAUAUAGAGUCAAGUAGUGGCCGAUCAUAAAAAUUGUCCAUAUUAUAUAAUUCUUCCUGACUACUCUCCGCUACAAAAUCACAUCUUUUUUCUUAAUUUUCAAUUUUACUAACAUUCAAUUGAUGGUUUUAUGGGAAUAUUACCAACCAAAUACACGCUGACGUGUGCAGUGGAGAACCGACAUUCCGACAUGUUUAAAAUCGAGAAAGGACAUAUGACCAAAAAAAAAAAAAAAUCGAGAAAGGACAGAGAAAUUCUGCAAGCGGCCGCCCCAUUGGCAACGCGACCAAGACUCUUCGCCAAGAAGGAACUCCUUUCGUCCCAAGUUCUUCUUUACUUGCUAGACCUCGCUUGACAAGUCAGCACGAGAGACUGAGAGAGAGAGAGAGAGAGAGAGACAGCAGAAGCAGCUGAAGCUGAGGCGUUUAUUCGUUGCUGGGCUCUUCCCAUUCCGUUCGGUACGCACGCCGACGCGCUCGCCGGGGGGGAACCGGCGGCGAUCCGAUCGUCGUCCGAGCUGGAAGCGCCUUUGACUUGCGGGCGAUGACGAGGGAGGACGAGGGGUCGUCGUCUGGAGCGGCGGCGGGCAACGUGUACGUCGCGGUGGGGAGCGACGGCGCGGAGGGCGAGACGAUGCUCCUGUGGGCGCUGCAGAAGUUCGGGGGCGACUUCAAGUACUGCAUCCUGCACGUCGGGCAGCCCGGCGGUGAGUUCCAACCCGCUCGGCAAAUUUCCUGUGUGUCCCGUGAGCUGGAAAAGAUGCUUCUUUUUGGAUAUUUUUUUUUAGCUUCGUCUCUGUUUCUGCUGUUGGAUCUCUUCUGGGUCGGUCGAAAUUAGGGAGGAGCAUACAGUACCGUCCGGACCAGACCGGACUAGCCGAUUUGGUCUGAUUUCAGAGGGUGUCGAUCUGAUUCCGAAUUUCAUAAAAAUGGAAUGGGUGAUCUUCAGUCCAGUUACCGGUUCCGGACGGGACCAACUUUUAAGAAAAAAAAAAAUAUAUAUAUAUAUAUAUAUAUAUAUAUAUAUAUAUAUAUUAAGUUCUUAAACAUAGCAAUAAACCUUCAAAUUGUAAUAAUUCUAGUAUUUUUUUUAUUUUUAAAUUUUUUCUAAGUGGUCGGUUCCAUUGGCCGGCUGAUUCUUGUUUCUAGGACUGUCCAAUCGGUUCUGGUCCCAAAAAAUGGAACCAGUCCUCCUGAUUGGGAUCUCGGUUUCUAAGUCGAACCAGACUGGAUCGGAAAUCAAUUACCCCUAGUCAAAAUUAGAGGGUAUGGAGUUCAAGUGCGAUGGGCGAAGUAAAUUUACAAUGCGGGCAUUAGCUGUCGACCUUGAACCCCGAGCUCUUUGUUCAUUUAUAAAUACAUUAUUGACGAGACGAAACCGUCAAGCGAAUUUCAUUGCUUGAAGAAGUGCUCGCUACGCAUAACGGCAUUUGGACAUGUGUAGGAGUUGGAGACUGCUGUAAAAUGGACUUUUUUGUAGCAUAUUUGGGCUGCAUUUAAUCAUUUUUGUGAACAAAACUUUCUUGCUUACUUAGCUAAAAAUAAAAGUAAUGGGAUAGUAGAUAUGGAUAUGGCAGUUUGGAGAAUGAUCUCUCUGCAGUUUCUUGGGGCAGAUGUCUGCUGGUAGUGGAGAUAAUGUCGAUUUGGUGAAAAACUCUGUUCGAUUUUCUUGCAUGUAAAAGUGAUCGCGGGUUUUUUAUUAUGUGUGCAAACUAUUAGGCCUCAUUUAAAUAAUAUGAUGAUAACAAAAGGCAUCAUGUUAGUCUUCAUCUCAAAUGCGGUCUUUUUGGCGCGCUUUCAGAGUGAUUCAUGAGAUAAAUAUGCUUUGCUGUAUGUCUAGACUGACCACUAUCGUUCUGUUUAAAGAAAAUGAGAACAGUAUUUUCAUUUUUUGAUUUGCAUUGCUAGUAGUCUUUGUAGUUAGUACUUUUUCCUUCUGCAGUAAUUUUCAACAGAAUUUUUUCUUUGUUUGCAAUUCGUGAAAUCUCCUCCAGAAUUGGCAAGGAAGAAUACGCACAAGAUUCUGGAUGCAUGCAUUCAAAUGUGUAACGACGAAAAGGUUCGUUUCUGAAACUGGUUUAUUUCUUUGUCGGCAGAUUUAUAGGAAUAGAUUAAUCUCGCGCUACAUUCUAAAAAAAGAUUAGGCUUUCAGGAUGCAGUUAUGCAUUGAGAUUCUUUGCGUUUGCAAUAAAGUAGAAAAGGAGGGAUAAGUGCCCCAAAAAUCUAAAAACUUAUCAUAAAAAUAUAAUUGAGUCCUAAAACUUUUUUAAUAGUUCAAUCAAGUUGAAAAACUUGUCAAAUUGGUGCGUUUAAGUCCCUCUAUUUAAUCCAUCUAAUUUAGUUAAUGGAAAAUAUUGACGUAGUUUUUUUUAAUUACUUUCCGUGGCGCCGAUAUGGCACCCAUGAAGCGCCACAUCGAAAAAUUCUCGAAUGGUAGAGGAGACUUCAUUGUUGUAGCUACUUGAAGGAGUUGUAGAUUAAAAGAGCUCUCCAUGGAUCCAAUUUGUCACGCCGAAAAACAAGAUCAACCAAUGUCAAGUCAUCUUUGUUUUCCUGAUUGCCACCACCGUGUGACAUGGAGAGUGACUGCAAUCUGAAAAGAAAAAAUGAUACAAUAAGCCACAUCAGUUUUUUCCUUUAGCCAAAUCAAAUAGAGUUAACAGAGGGACUUCAUUGCACCAAUUUGACCAGGUUUAAGAUUUUAUUGCACUAUUGAAAGUUUUAGGACCCGAUUGUACUUUCUUGACAAGUUUUUGGACUUCUAAUGCGCUUACCCUAAAAAAAAAAAUAGUAAACUCUCAUUUAUUGAGCUUAUAUGAAAGACAAGACAUUUUCUUUUGAUCUCGAAAUGAUUGUCUUGACUUCUCAGUGGACUCCAUUACCAUUGGUUCCUUUGGAUUGAAUGGUUUAGAAAAUUUAAACUAGUGAGGUAGAAUGAUUUCUGUCAGCACUCUUUUUGUAGAUGAGAACAUUUUGAUAUUGAGAAGGUUUGCAAUCAUAUCUAAGUGGAAAUUGUGGUCAAUUAUGCAUUGACAAAUCCUGAUGAGAGUACACCAUUGGGAAGUUUCUGAAAGCAAAUCCUUUGCUAGAAUAUUUUCCUUCCAGAUUGUCAUUACUUAUUAUGCCACCAUGAACGGAAUCUUGAGAAUGAAUACAAUUAAAUUGGCGGAAGCAUUAUUAUUGUUACUUAGUCCUAAUUUUUGUUACUUGUGCUUCCCAAAUGCUGCUUAAUUUUCCAGGUUUUUUCGAUGAAAUUAUAUGCUGAGAUGCAGGAUGUAAGACAAGGGAUUGUAGAACUUGUCGAGCAGCAUUGCAUCAGGAAGCUCGUUAUGGGAGCAGCAGCAGAUAGACACUACAUUGAGUAAUAACUUAUGGCUUAUCUGUAUUCGCAACAGUGGACUGAUUAAGGCUCUUUGAAUUAUGGACUUAAUGGAGGGUUUUGUUUUGAGAUGCAAUGUUUUCUUCACUUGGCUGGUGUCACUGAUGCUUUAACGCAUGCAAAAUCUUGGACAAAUGCUGCAUAGGUUCUCGUAUUCUGAUGAAUGAGUCAGUAAAUGCGCAGAAACCAUUGCAUUGCAAAUGUUUUCUGCCCCUAGAUUCUAAAUAACUAAUAUGUCUAACGAAGUGGCUAGAAAGAGAUCAAUUUGUGAGUUCUUUUUAUCCAUUGAGUGGAUGGUUUGGCUAGUUGUUUGUUUUUAAUCCUUUUUCUUACCACUGCUAAUGGUAAAAGUCUGCCUGUUUUAGAGGAUGGCUACUUAGCUCAAGCUCUCGUGUUACUUGAUGUAAUUAUGGAGUUGACUACAAAAUGUUUUGCUGAGAUGAAUGCUAUAUUUUCAUUCCUUUAUUGAAAUAAAUAUUGAACCUGUAGGGGCAUGGCACAGCUUAAAUCUACAAAAGCAAUGUUUGUGAACCAGCAUGCUCAUCCAUCCUGUGAAAUUUGGUUUAUCUGCAGAGGCAAUUUUGUUUCCUUGAGGUAUGCAUAACCAUGCUGAACUUUCACUGCCAUACAUUUAGGUAUCUUGUAGAGUUGAGCAGUCAAGCUGUUCACAUUUUCUUUCAACGCAUUUGAUUGUGGUGCUUUAUUAAUAAUUUUUUGGCAUAAUGUCCAACAUGGUAUCGGAAAUCAGGUCUUUGAGCCCCAUUUCCUGUCCCAUUGGCUUAUGGGGAUGAAUCGAGGGCUUAGAAUCCAUCUCUAUGUUUCUUGAAAGUGCUAAGAUCGAUUUCGUAUUAUUGACCAAACUUCAUGAGUUUUAAAUUUUUUCCAGAAGAAACUUAUGAGUCAACUCUGUGUAUAAAUUUAACACCUGACUCUAAGUAAGGCCUCACGUUGAUUUUGUCAGAGAUAGUUGCUGAAGUUUAUUCUACAACUUCGGCCCAACUCAAAGUGAAUAUGUCAUAAAGCUAAUGCAAAUUGCUAAACCUGAAUGUCAGGGAAAGUUGUUCAAGUACCUCUUAUCCAGUGAGGUCCCAUGUUCAAUCUGGACAGAGUACUGCAGGUUCAGAUAACUCUGGAUCCGACUCUAAUGAAGUUGCAGAUAAUCUAGCUGCAGAUAAUCUAGCAUUGGAAGGUCCUGAAAGGAGCGACGAGAGCUCAGCAAGAAGUCCGGUGCGUGCACCUCCAUCUAGUGUAGCAGAUAAUCUAGCCUUGGAAGGUCCUGAAAGGAGCGACGAGAGCUCAGCAAGAAGUCCGGUGCGUGCACCUCCAUCUAGUGUAGCAGAUAAUCUAGCCUUGGAAGGUCCUGAAAGGAGCGACGAGAGCUCAGCAAGAAGUCCGGUGCGUGCACCUCCAUCUAGUGUAGCAGAUAAUCUAGCCUUGGAAGGUCCUGAAAGGAGCGACGAGAGCUCAGCAAGAAGUCCGGUGCUUGCACCUCCAUCUAGUGUAGCAGAUAAUCUAGCCUUGGAAGGUCCUGAAAGGAGCGACGAGAGCUCAGCAAGAAGUCCGGUGCCUGCACCUCCAUCUAGUGUAGCAGAUAAUCUAGCCUUGGAAGGUCCUGAAAGGAGCGACGAGAGCUCAGUAAGAAGUCCAGUCAUCAACCUCCAUCUAGUGUAGCAGUAAGGAAAAGAACCUCUCCACUCUUUUAUUUGGCUAUUCUUCUAUAAAAGUUAAUUAUCUGGUUUCUUAGGUAGCAUAACCCAAAUAUAUUUAUAUCCCAACAGGAA
rnacentral:lncRNA from 1 species